CUUUAUUAGAAACAACCAUGUGUUUGCAGUUUGCAGAUCAGACGAUAUCUUUUCCAAAGGGAAUAGUGAGGAACCUUUGUGUCCGAGUUGGUACCUUAUAUGCCAUGCAGACUUCGUAGUGGUAGAGACCGGAAAUGAUGAGAGAGCACCUAUCAUCCUAGGGAGGCCAUUCUUGAACACCACGGGAGCUAUCAUCUACGCUAGUGCUGCCAAGAUCAGUUUCUACGUCAAAGGGAAGAAGGAGACGUUUUUCUUCAAGAACAAGACUACACCAAUUCAAGAUCAAUCCAUACGUGAAUCAAGGAAGAGGACCAACAGGAGAAACAGGAACAAGCAAGUGUGGACCGAGUCAGCUAAGAUGGUCACUGUAGUCCAUGGAGGCCAAGAUCAUCAACUUAAGUCACCGUUUUUGACCAAGAAGGACGACACAGGAAUGCCAAGCAUCUACUGCUCCAUAAAUGGAUACAACUUCUACAAGACGAUUUGCGACACCGGAUCGGGCGUCAACAUAAUGGCUGCAGUCACUUAUCGGCUCUUGUUCGGGACCAUGCCACUAAGACCAACAUACAUUCAGCUCCAGAUGGCAGAUCAGACAUUUCGAGAAGUUAAAGGAAUAGUAUCUGAUGUCCCAGUCAAAAUAGACGAUCACUUUGUCUACACAGACUUUCAAGUUGUUGACAUGGGAGAAGAUGAGUAUGAUCCACCCAUCAUCCUUGGAAGACCCUUCCUCAGCACCGUUAAAGCAAUUAUCUACAUUGGAACCGGAGAAGUCCAUAUGCACUUCCCCUCAGAGAAGGUACGCCGUUAUUUUACUGAGCCUAACUAUAUCAUUGAAGAAUCUAAGCAGGUCAGAAAAAGACGGAACCGCAACCAGAGGAGGCAGAUCAUCAAGGACGAAUGGGCAGACUAUGAAGGAGAAGUUGUAAGGUCAGAAGACAUUGAAUUUAAACAGAAUUAUCCAGAGGAGAUCGAAGCACCGAGUCAGGUAUGGAAAAUGAAGAUAACUAUACAAGAAGAGGAGGCGCUGCCGGAAGUACCGACUACGCCACCCAACGAACCUCAGGACAAUUAAGAAAUUGGAGAGUCCCGUUCGGAGGACUUAAAAACACCGAACGCGUUGCCAAGAGGUAAACUUGGUAGUUAUCCUUUCCCUUUCAGUUAUUUCAAAUAGUUUACUUAGUUAAUCAUAUUCACACUAUCUUAAAAAGAAAAUAAAAAUGUGAAAAAACAGUAAGCCCCAUGUGAGUAGACGAGUGGCAUAAAACCCAUAAGUACAUUCACUGUGGUGGCAUAAAAAUAAAAAUAAAUAUUUUCUGCUUUAUAAAAUAAAAAUAUAAAAACAGGGAGUAAUAUUUAUUAAGGAGUCUCAAGAUAAUAAAGGCUAGAUAUUUAUGCUAUCACUUAAUAAGUUCCACAAGCUUUGUUGUCUAUUUGGGCUCCACAGAAAUUUAAGAAUCAAGAAGACUAGUAGACGGAGGACAUUCUAAUCGCUGUCAGAAUGCUGCUGACUUUCAAAUACACCUCUACCACCUGCUAGCUACACCAAGAGAAAUUACGUCAAAAUUCAGCUUGGGGGAGAGCACCCCCAUUUAUCACGAUGAGUAUUUCUAUCUAUCUUUAUACUUAUAUUAUUUUAGAAUAUUAAAAUACACAUAAACUAUGGGAAAACCAAAUAAAGAUUUUAUGCUUAUAUAUGUCUUUUGCUUAGUGUGUUAAAUAAAUAAAUAAAGUGGCUAUGCUAAUCUGUAUCUAAAUAAAACUUAAGCAUGGAUAUGAUAAAUAGUUGCUCUGCCUAAUUUGCAAAUUUUAAGUUCUCUCUCAAGUUUAGAUAUAACUGUUAUAAUUUAAAGCUUGCUCUAGACCUAAACUUGUGGGAUGAAAACUUGUUCUGAAGUCUAAGUUGUUAACGGAUAUGAUAUGGGAAGGUUGAGCUGCUGUUUAUCUGUUCCUAGAGAUGCUAGAAUUCUGGAGAAUUUUAUCUUUGAAAAUCUUUAAAAUGUUGCAUGAUGAGUUCCUUUAUGAUGAGAGUUUAAAUUCCUACCACAGCCAUAUAUACAUGCUUGCUAGACUUUGAGCCACACAUUUAAUAUUUACUGCUUAUGAGCAUUGAGUGUGGUCAAGCUGUGUAGACCCUUAGGAGCUUGUCAUGUGGUUAAAUCAAGAUUCACUUGCACGUUCACUCAUAUAUGCUACUUCUACUCCAGAAGUACCAUCCACAUAUAUCCACCCAUUCCAUCUCCAGAAUCACCCAAAAAUAUUCUACUCCUAAUCCGGGAGAGAAUAACCAAAAAUAUUUCUAUUUUCCCCUUGUGAAAUAAAUGCUCAAGUUAUCUUGUUACUACCACUUGCUAUAUUAUCUCAAGAGAUGAAUGCUCUGAAAAAAAAAGAAAUAAAAAGAGAUACGAGGAAAUAAAAAGGAGCAAGUGCUCGGAACCUCGAAAGAAAAGAAAAAGUGAGACGAGAGGUAAAAAUGGACAAGUGUCCGACAGUAGAAUUAGGGGUGCAAGAUACCCACCUGGAAAAAAAAAGAAGAGCAUCUCAUUCUCCUCAUAAAGUUUCAAUAGCAAGGAAGGUAUGUAUCCCCUCAAAGAGCAAAGUAGAAUUAGACUUCCACCACCAUUGUUUUCACCAUUGUUAUCACCAUCACCACCAUACACCAUUCAUUCGCCACCCAUGCACAUCUUGAUUAAACUUAUUGGCUUGUUACUUUGGAUCCAUGGUUUGACUAUACAAUAAAUGUCUUGUAAGUAUGUAUAUUUUAUCUCCCACCUAUGAGCUCCAGAUAUUAAAGCCCUAUUAGAGUAGGGUGAGAGAGAAGGUAAUGUCACUAUGCCUCAUACCACAAAUACUACAUAUCUUGAGAGAAGGCAUAUACCAUCAAUGCCUUGGUAAGGAUCCAAAAAUACCACAAAAGAGAGACCUGAGAGAAUCAUACAAGGAAUUUCUGAGUUUUAUUUGAAAAUUUGCAAAAACCCCAGAGCUAUAGCUGAUCAAGAAUAAGAGACAUGGCACUUGGCUAGACUGUUCUAUCUUUUAACCACUCAAGACAGAAGUGACAGUUACAAGUCCCAUGGUAAAGGUAAAGUAAGUAAUUUUUAAGUCUUGAUAGUUUACUCUUACUCAGAGAUGAGAUCUUAUUAAAAAAGCAUGUGUACCGUCAAAUUUUUUUAAAAAUAUAUAUAUAUAUAUAUAUAUAUUGCAACAACUUAUGAUCCAUAGCUGAGUCUAUCUUUGCUCAGGGACGAGCAAGAGGUAAGCUUGGGGGAGUUUGUUGACGGUCCUUAAGUAUCAAAUUUAAUUAUCAAAUAAAUAAAGAAAAGGAUCCAAAUGAAAUCAAGAUCAAGACUUAGGGUUUUAUCUGACAGAAUUCCACGAGUUUUGGUGUUUGUCUAUUUCUGCAGGGGGUUAUCAGGAAAUAUGGAAGAAAGGCCCACAUGUCAGGAUUACGUAAAGAUAUUAACGUGCUGCGCAAUUAUCUUACAUCUAGAAGACUCCAGAAGCCACGAGACCGAAGCGGAGGCGAAACGGGGCCAGACCCUGGGCGGCCGCCCAGUUGGUCAGGGCGCCCGCCCUGCCCCUGAGUCCAAUCAGGACUCUGCUUUGCGGGAGAUCUCCACCGACCUAAAGGAUGAAUCCAAACCAUACAAUCUAUGUCGGUUUGAUCCAAGGGCCCAUAUUCACUUGAAGGGACUAUAAAACCAGACCCCCUGGCCCCUGGAGGAGAGAGCCUCUCAACCCUAAUUCAUUGUUCCAUCAAGGAGAGAAGAAGCCUCUGAUCAAGAUUAGAGCCACCACAUCAAUUAGAUAUCUAGAUUAGCAUAGCUACAUAGGAUUAGAACUAGAAGGAGUCAAUCUUCGAUUGGUUUCCGGAUCUGUCAGGAGGAUUCUUGGUAAUUCUCUAAUUGUGCUUCUAAUUGCUUUCUAAUUAUCUUUGUUCUGCAAUAUUAUGAAUAUGACUUUAUUCUACUUCAAUAUAUUGCUUAUAAGUUUGCUCUACUUGUUUAUAUUCGCAAUUAUAUUGUUCUUAGUUUAUCAUAGUUAUGUACUUGGCUUAGUUAGAUUGGAAAUAUAUACAUGUUUAGGAUCGUAUAGCGUUUAUCCAUCGGAUCCAUGGGUAAAUGAUAGAUAUUGUGUAGGCGUGGUGCUUAUACCGUAUUUAUCUGCGAUUGUACCCUAUAUGCCAGAUCGCGGGGUAGUUCGUGGUAGUGACAGCUCCAUUGAUUCUUAUAUAAUCCCCCUCUCGUGUAUUGGGCUAGCAGAGCAACAUUAUUACAGGGGAGUGACUACGAUGUUUCUCAUAUUCCUUGCUAAUAUCACUAUGCAUGGGCGUAGUCCUGUCUCGCAAUGAUUGCUAAGUAUAAUUGCACUAACUACGAUAUGCUAGACUGUAUAGUUGAGAAUAACUUAGGAAAUAUUAUUGUAGUUCAUCCUAAUUCCAUGCUAAUGACUUGCUAGAAUAUCUAAUUAAGGUUCUUAUCAUAUUUAUUAUGUUGCUAAGUUGUGCUGAUCAGAUUAAUUAUCUUUGUCACUAUUCAUUACUUUAUAUAUCCUUUAUGUGACACUUAUCCCUAUAUGAAAGAGUUAGAUAAAUGUUCUCAAUUAUACAUGCAAUGAUAGAUACUCAAUCUUAUAUUCCAUUCUAUAAUCAACAUUGAUGGUAACUAAUCCCUUCCCAGUGGUAAAAAUAUAAAUAACGAUUCCUGGAAUACUUCCCGGUUAAAAUGCUACAUCGGUAUUAAUUUAUGCGCUUGCAGAUCCCAUUUAUUAUUUAUUUAGAUGAGCAAUUGCAUAUUUUAAUACCGCGUCUUUCAUGUCAUGCUGGGGAUGACAACUUGGCUUAAGUGGCAUGGGAGAUAGGUUUGGCAUUUUUGACGCCGUUAUCAGAAUUAGAGAACUAAGUCUACUUUUGGUAAUGACGUUAAGAAUACCCAACAAGCAUUUUUGGCGCUGUUGUCGGGGAAGGUUGAUUACUAAUUAGGAAUGGAUAUAGGAUAUUGAGUCAUCAUUCGCAUCACUAAUAUGAUUGACCUUAUCAAUUCUCUCAUACAGUUUUACCCUGAUAUUUUUCUAUUUUAUCUUAUGCAGAGUAAUGUAUGAAUAGAAGACAUCUUCCAGGAAAUUUUGUUGACAAUUAUUCAGAAAAACAAGAGCCAAGCUCAAGAAGAGAUCAUCAACACUUCAGCAAGAAGCUUCAUCCAAUCAAGAAGAUCACCAGAACUUGUCUUCAGAGUUCGAAGCCAUGGCGAACAAAUCGAUCCGUGAGUUCUCAGCUCCCACUACGGACAACAUCCGCACUGGACCUGCUGCAGAGAUCGACGACAACUUUGAGCUCAAGCCUGGACUUAUCAACAUGGUGCAAUCCAACCAGUUCUGUGGGAAGGCACAUGAAGAUGCUAGUGCUCAUCUCCAACACUUCCUGGAGAUUUGCAGCACAUUUACCAUAUCAGGAGUCCCCAGAGAUGCUAUGCUACUUCGCCUCUUCCCAUUCUCACUGUUAGGAAGAGCGAAACAGUGGUUCUACACUACAAAGGAGAAGAAUACUACGUGGGCACUCUGCUCCAUGAACUUUCUAGCUAAGUUCUUUCCCAUGGGCAAGACCAAUGCUCUCCGUGGGAAGAUUACAAGUUUUCAGCAACAACAUGAUGAAUCCGUUCCAGAAGCAUGGGAGCGCUUCCAAGACUACAUCCUAGAUUGUCCCGAUCAUGGAAUGGAGAGUUGGCUACUGAUGCAGACAUUUUAUCAUGGGCUCGGCAACAGUGCCCGAGUAACCAUGGAUGCUGCAGCUGGAGGAGCAUUCUUAUCACUUACCAUAUCACAAGCCACAGCUCUUGUGGAGAAGAUGGCGUCAAACCAAAGCUGGAAUGAAGAGAGGACCCAGACACGCAAGAAAGGUGGAGGCAUACAUCAGCUCAAGAAGGUAGAUAUGCUAUCUGCAAAGCUAGACCUGCUCAUGAAGAAGCUCGAUGAUAGAGCUGGAGAUAAGAAAUAAGUUAUGCACAUCUACGACUCUCACAUGACUUGUGAGGAGUGUGGAGAUACUGGAUACUCAGGCAAACACUGCUCUGAGAUGCUUGAGGAUGUGAACUACAUCAACAAUAACAACAACAACAACUACUACUACAACCGUCCUCAACAAAAUCAAGGUUGGAAUCAACAGAGGCCUAACUACUCAAGUAAUUAUCAACUUAACAAUUCUUACAAUAAUAAUUUUCCACCUCUGAGAGAGUUAGUGUCUAAUCAAGGAAAGCUAAUGGAUAUCCUAUCUAAGAAAUUGGCAUCUAAUGAUAAAAUGCAAGAAAAUAUAAAUAAUAGAAUGGAUAAUUUCUCUACUGCCAUCAAGAAUCAAAUUAGCUUUAAUAAAAUGAUUGAAUCUCAAUUAAAUCAAAUAGCUGCUGUUGUUCCUACUACUAACCCCGGUAUACUAUCACAACUGGAAGGAUUAGAAUCUGCAAAUCUUGUAGACAUGUUUGAUGCUGGUAACUGGAGUAACCCCGUCACGGAAGUUACUACUGACCUUCUACCGGUCAAGAGAGGCGAUCUAGGGCGCUCCGUCAUCCCGAUCUCCAUCGGCAUGGUGGACUUCCCAGAAGCACUCUGCGACUUUGGCUCCAGCGUCAACAUUAUGCCCAGGGUACUCUAUGAAAAAUUCUUUACAUAUCCUUUAUUAGAAAAAACUAUGUUUUUGUAGUUUGCAGAUCAGACGAUAAGUUUUCCAAAAGGAAUAUUGAAGAACCUCUGCGUCCUAGUUGGUACCUUGUAUGUCCCAGCAGACUUCGUGGUGAUAGAGACCGGUAAUGAUGAGAGGGCACCCAUCAUCUUAGGGAGGCCACUCUUAAACACCUCGGGAGCUGUCAUCUACGCCAGUGCUGCCAAGAUCAGUUUCUACAUCAAAGGGAGAAAGGAGACGUUUUCCUUCAAGAACAAGACUAGACAAAUCCCAGAGCAAUCUAGAUGUGAAUCAAGGAAGAGGACCAACAGGAGGAACAGAAACAAGCAAGUGUGGACCGAGUCAGCUAAGAUGGUCACUGCAGUUCAAGGAGGUCAAGAUCAUCAACUUAAGUCACCAUUUCUGACCAAGAAGGACGACCCAGGAAUGCCAAGCAUCUAUUGCUCCAUAAAUGGAUACAACUUCUACAAGACGUUUUGCGACACCGGAUCGGGCGUCAACAUAAUGGCCGCAGUCACCUAUCUGCUCUUGUUCGGAACCAUGCCCUUAAAACCAACAUACAUUCAGCUCCAGAUGGCAGAUCAGACAUUUCGAGAGGUUGAAGGAACAGUGACUGAUGUCCCAGUCAAAGUAGACGAUCAUUUUGUCUACACAGACUUUCAGGUUAUAGAUAUGGGAGAAGAUGAAUACGAUCCACCCAUCAUUCUUGGAAGACCGUUCCUCAGCACCGUUAAAGCAAUCAUCUACAUUGGAACUGGAGAAGUCCAUAUGCACUUCCCCUCAGAGAAGGUACGCUGCUAUUUUACUGACCCUAACUAUAUCGUUGAAGACUCUAAGCAGGUCAAAAACGACGCAACCGCAACCAGAGGAGGCAAAUCAUCAAGGACGGAUGGGCAGACUAUGAAGGAGAAGUGGUAAGGUCAGAACACAUACAGUUUAAACAGAAUUAUCUAGAGGAGACUGUAGCACCAAGUCAGGUGUGGAGAGAGAAGAUAACUAUACACGAAGAAGAGGCGCCGUCGGAAGUACCGACGACGCCACCCAACGAAUCCCAGGACGACCGAGAAAACGGAGAGUCCCGUUUGGAGGACUUAAAAACACCAAACGCCUUGCCAAGAGGUAAACUUGGUAGUUAUACUUUCCCUUUCAAUUAUUUUAAAAUAGUUAGCUUAGUUAGUUAUGUUCAGACUAUCCUAAAAAGAAAAUAAAAAUGUUAAAAAAAUAGUAAGUCCCAUGUGAGUAUAUGAGUGGCAUAAACCCCAUAAGUACAUUGACUGUGGUGGCAUAAAAAUAAAAUAAAUAUUUCUUUUCUGCUUUAUACAAUGAAAAUAAAAAAAUUAGGGAGUAACAUUUAUUGAGGAGGCUCAACAUGAUAAAGGCUAAAUAUUUAUGCUAACACCUAAUCAGCUCCACAAAGCUUUGUUGUCUAUUUGAGCUCCACAAAAUUUAAGAAUCAAGAAGACUAGCAGAUAGAGGACAUUCUAAUCGCUGUCAAGAUACUGCCGACUUUCAAAUACACCUCUGCCACCUGCUAGCUACAUCAAAAUAAAUUACGUCAAAAUUCAGCUUGGAGGAGAGCACUCCCAUUUAUCUCGCUAAGUAUUUCUAUCUAUCAUUAUACUUGUACUAUACUAAAAUAUAAAUAUACAUUACUAUGAAAAACCAAAUAAAUAUUUUAUACAUAUAUAUAUAUCUUUUGCUUAGUAUGUUUAAUAAAUAAAUAAAUAAAGUGGCUAUGCUAAACUGAAUCUUAAUAAUAAAACUCUAGCAUGGAUAUGAUGAAUAGUUGCUCUGCCUAAUUUUUAAAUUUGAGUACUUUCUCUAGUUUAGACAUAACUGUUAUAAUUUAAAGCUUGCUCUAAACCUGAACUUGUGGGAAGAGAACUUGAUCUGAAGUCUAAGUUGUUAACGGAUAUGAUAUGGGAAGGUUGAGCUGUUGUUUAUCUGUUCCUAGAGAUGCUAGAAUUCUGGAGAAUUUUAUCUUUGAAAAUCUUUAAAAUAUCACAUGAUGAGUUCCUGUAUGAUGAGAGUUUAAAUUCCUACCACAGUCAUAUAUACAUGCUUGCUAGACUUUGAGCCACACAUUUACAUUUUUACUGUUUAUGAGCAUUGAGUGUGGUCAAGCUGUGUAGACCCUUAGGAGCUUGUCAUGUGGUUAAAUCAAGAUUCACUUGCACGUUCACUCACACAUGCUGCUUCUACUCCGGAAGUACCGUCCACAUAUAUCCACUCAUUUCCAUCUCCAGAACCACCCAAAAAUAUUCUACUCCUAAUCUGGGAGAGAAUAGCCAAAAACAUUUCUGUUUUUCCCCUGUGAAAUAAAUGCUCAAGUUAUCUUGUUACUACCACUUGGUAUAUUAUUUCAUGAGAUGAGUGCUCUAAAAAAAGAGAAUACGAGGAAAUAAAAAGGGGCAAAUGCCCGAAACCUCGAAAGAAAAGAAAAAGUGAGACGAGAGGUAAAAAUGGACAAGUGUCCGACAGUAGAAUUAGGGGUACAAGAUACCCACCUGAGAGGAAAAAAAGAAAAGAGAGAGCAUCUCAUUCUCCUCAAGUUUCAAAAGAGCAAGAAAGGUAUAUAUCCCCUCAAAAGAGCAAAAGUAGAAUUAGACAUUCACCAUUGUUAUCACCAUCAUCACCAUACGCCAUUCAUUCGCUACACAUGCACAUAUUGAUUUGAUUUAUUGACUUGUUUCUCUGGAUCCAUGGUUUAACUAUGCAAUAAAUGUCUUGUGAGUAUGUAUACUUUAUCUCCCACCUAUGAGCUCCAGAUAUUAAAAGCCUUAUUAGAGUAGGGUG
rnacentral:lncRNA from 1 species